AUGGUCAAAAUGAGAGAUCAGGUGGCCGAUCUUAAAAUAAAUCAAUAUUGAUUUUUUUUAUAGAGCGUUAAAGUUUUGCGAAGCCAGGGGGCGGGGCUAUUUGAUUGACAGUCUGGUCUGGAAUGAUUGACAGGUCCUAUGGCGGAGGCAGCAGAGACUCUGCUCUCCUCGUUUGGAUUAAUUCUGAUAUAAUAACUGUUGGUUUAUUUAUCGGUAGAGCAGCAGAACCUUCUCCACAGACAGUUUUCCUGCUCGUUGGCUUUUUUUAACCAGUUUUCUGCCUUCGGCUGAUUCUACCAGGAGACACUGAAAGGACUCUGAUAGUUCGGUGUCUCAUGUUCACUGUGAGGAUCUUCUGAGUGAAGCCAACAGAAGGAAAACCUCAUCUGGAUGUGAAGAAGGAGACUGAAUGGACGACAUCCUCAAGUGAAAGUAGCAGUUCCUCCUGAAGGUCAGAGAUUGCAGCAUCUGAGGGCCUCUUCAAAAGAAGACUUAGUUGAUGAAGGCGUUCUGGAGCAGGACCAGAAAGACCACGACCAAGCAGCCUUGAGAUCUUAGGCAGCGUCUCCCUCUGGUCCCUCUCUAUCUCCCCACACAUCCACCAACCACUGGAACACAUCUCCAAAGUUCUGCUGGGCCAGCUCAGCUUCCCCUCAGAAGAAGUGGCGCCACCUGCCAGAUGAAGGAGCCUUUUGAGAGGCAGCUGGCAUCGUGAUUGGACUGUACUUUGGUCUGUUCCAAUCCAGCUUCAGCUCCAGAGACGGCAGGCGGGACGAGUCAACGGAGGCCGGGAUGGACGAAGGCAUGCAGCUGAGUACAAUCCAGAAAACAACAGAGGAGGAGUGCAGCGGCCCAGUAUAGCCUUUGACCAAAGAACUACAGACUCUUCACAACCUGCUCAAACUCUUGGUACAGGACCUCACCACACGGGUCAAGAAGGUUUCCUUCUCAUUUCUACUCUGAAGCUCACCUUCUCCUGCUCAAACUGCUGACAAAUGUUUCUGCUGCUCUAAAGUCUGGUCUCCAGAACUUCCUAAAAACUCUCAAAGUCUCUUCUGCUGCAGGUUGCUUUGUAGAACUGUUCCAGAAAACCUCACUAAACCACAUGGAG